AUUUUUUUAACAAUUAUAAUUAUUCGAAUCGUCUUUAUACAAAAAAUAAGGAAAUGGAAUUACAUCGACUCCAGUACUCAAGAUGAAAGGCAAAGAUGAAAGGCAAAGUCGACUCCGGCGGUAUUUGAAAUCAGAACGUAAAGCCGGAAGAAAUGCCGCUAAACAUUUUGUCCAGCGUGCUAACGAUUCUGCCAGCUCGUCGCCUUCAAGAAAGAGGAAUAUUAAACACUGCUUCUGACCAAAAUGUCAAAUAAUAGGAUUAUAAACCUAUCAUCAUUGAUUAGAAAAAAAACAUUAUUUGGAAGGACCAAUGAAAAAAAAAAAAAAAACUAUUUCAAAUGUGUAUCUGUCAAUAUAAGUUGUAUAUUUUAUAUAUACAAACUUUAUUUUUGUUCCAUUCUCAAUCUAAACUGUCCGACGAACGCGAACUUGAAACUCCGAGUAGCAGUUUUUGUGACCUUUUUGUGAUGUCUUUGCAGCUUUAAUAAAAAUAAUGCAUAUUACUCUA